rnacentral:rRNA from 1 species
UGGGGAAUUUUCCGCAAUGGGCGAAAGCCUGACGGAGCAACGCCGCGUGAGGGAGGAAGGCUCUUGGGUUGUAAACCUCUUUUCUCAAGGAAGAUAAUGACGGUACUUGAGGAAUCAGCAUCGGCUAACUCCGUGCCAGCAGCCGCGGUAAUACGGAGGAUGCAAGCGUUAUCCGGAAUUAUUGGGCGUAAAGCGUCCGUAGGCGGCAUGAUAAGUCUGCUGUCAAAGACCGCAGCUCAACUGCGGAGAGGCAGUGGAAACUGUGAAGCUAGAGUCUGGUAGGGGUAGAGGGAAUUCCCAGUGUAGCGGUGAAAUGCGUAGAGAUUGGGAAGAACACCAGUGGCGAAAGCGCUCUGCUGGGCCAGAACUGACGCUGAGGGACGAAAGCUAGGGGAGCGAAAGGGAUUAGAUACCCCCGUAGUCC